rnacentral:lncRNA from 1 species
UCGACAGCAGCAAAAAAACUUAAAACUCAUGUCUAAUAGGCUUGAAUCUUCAUAAAAAUUGUGUUAAAUCAACAUGAAAAGAAGCCAUGUCUACCUGAGAAUGCUUGUACAGUCAAGCGAGCGUGAGAUACCCCAAGAAAAUACUUGUCGAUUCCUGAAACGAAGCAAAUAGAGCUUCAACGCAGAGAUCUUAGCGUUGAUGAACCUGCUACUUUGGGUCUUGAUUUGAAAGAACUGGGAAUGUUUUUUCUAAAUUUUUCCAAAACAAAAGUUGUUCUACUACCUCUAUAGAUAAUGCAGAGACAGAGAUAUCACUUAAAUAUUUAAAAUCAAAGUUAGAAUUUGGCAAGAAACAGGGCUGAUCCGCCAGCUCUGUUACGUUUCUGCAGAAAAUUUUUUUGAAGACCACAACUUCGGGCCUCGAUUUGAGGGAUUUAUAGUGAUUAUAUGGGAAAAAAUUUAACACAAAAGUUCCUCCUCUCUAUCCGUUGAAGGUGCAGAAAAAAUAAUUACUCCAAAAAGAUUAGUAAAGAAAGAGAAAAUCGAAUUGGAAGGGAGCUGGUUCGCCAGCUCAUUUCCAGUUUUUUUUUUUUUUGCUGAAA